AACGUGGGUAACCUGCCCAUCAGAGGGGGAUAACAUUCGGAAACGGAUGCUAAAACCGCAUAGGUCUUCGAACCGCAUGGUUUGAAGAGGAAAGAGGCGCAAGCUUCUGCUGAUGGAUGGACCCGCGGUGCAUUAGCUAGUUGGUGAGGUAACGGCUCACCAAGGCCGUGAUGCAUAGCCGACCUGAGAGGGUGAUCGGCCACAUUGGGACUGAGACACGGCCCAA
rnacentral:rRNA from 1 species